rnacentral:rRNA from 1 species
UACGUAGGGGCCGAGCGUUGUCCGGAGUUAUUGGGAGUAAAGCGCGCGCAGGCGGCUUGGCGCGCCCGACGUGAAAGCCCCCGGCUUAACCGGGGAGAGUCGUCGGGUACGGCCAGGCUUGAGGGCGGGAGAGGGUGGUGGAAUUCCCGGUGUAGUGGUGAAAUGCGUAGAGAUCGGGAGGAACACCUGUGGCGAAGGCGGCUAACUGGUCCGGAUCUGACGCUGAGGUGCGAAAGCGUGGGGAGCAAACAGG